GGAGGAGGCAUCCAAAGGGAUCGCAUUGAUCCCAAAUCUCAGAUUUAUAAAUUUUUCCUUCCUUUCUUUUCUUAAUAUUUGGGAUCAUGCUAUCCCUUUGGAUUCCUCCUU
rfam:Phaseolus vulgaris cultivar G19833 chromosome 8, whole genome shotgun sequence.